rnacentral:rRNA from 1 species
GGCCAUUGCUAUCGGAGUCCGAUUUAGCCAUGCUAGUCGCGCGGGUUCAGACCCGCGGCAAAUAGCUCAGUAACACGUGGCCAAUCUACCCUAUGGACGGGAAUAACCUCGGGAAACUGAGGCUAAUACUCGAUACAGCUCGCAUGCUGGAGUGCAGCGAGCUGGAAACGCCCCGGCGCCAUAAGAUGUGGCUGCGGCCGAUUAGGUAGACGGUGGGGUAACGGCCCACCGUGCCGAUAAUCGGUACGGGUCAUGAGAGUGAGAGCCCGGAGACGGUAUCUGAGACAAGAUACCGGGCCCUACCGGGCGCAGCAGGCGCGAAACCUUUACACUGCACGACAGUGCGAUAAGGGGACUCCCAGUGCGAGGGCAUACAGUCCUCGCUUUUCUCACCGUAAGGUGGUGCAGGAACAAGUGCUGGGCAAGACCGGUGCCAGCCGCCGCGGUAAUACCGGCAGCACGAGUGAUGGCCGAUCUUAUUGGGCCUAAAGCGUCCGUAGCC